rnacentral:tRNA from 1 species
UUGCAGGAAUGGGAUUUGAACCCAUGACCUCAAGGUUAUGAGCCUUGCGAGCUACCAAACUACUCUAUCCUGCG